UGGGGAAUCUUGGACAAUGGGCGCAAGCCUGAUCCAGCCAUGCCGCGUGAGUGAAGAAGGCCUUAGGGUUGUAAAACUCUUUCGCCGGAGAAGAUAAUGACGGUAUCCGGAGAAGAAGCCCCGCGUAACAUUCGUGCCAGCAGCCGCGGUAAUACGAAGGGGCGUAGCGUUGUUCGGAAUUACUGGGCGUAAAGCGCACGUAGGCGGGUUUGUAAGUAGGGGUGGAAAUCCCUGGCAUCCGAACCCACGGAACUGCCUUCUAGACUGCAAGCCUGGAGGUCAGGAGAGGCGAGUGGAAUACCGAGUGUAGAGGUGAAAUUCGUAGAUAUUCGGUGGAACACCAGUGGCGAAGGCGACUCGCUUGGACUGAUACUGACGCUGAGGUGCGAAAGCGUGGGGAGCAAACA
rnacentral:rRNA from 1 species